GCUUGAUCUUGGAUUAUUUGGUACUUCGAAGCUCGUCCGGAGUUGUUGCCAAAGCAAAAGGUCCGUAAUCUUAAAGUUGCUCGGGAAAAUUAGAUCACAUCUUUUUAAGCAGAACCGAUACUUAAAAUCUGUCCCAGCCACGGGUAAUUUAUUACAAAAGUAUCCUUCUGAUCCAGGGACAAUAAUUUAAAAUAAUAAUAAUUAAAACAAUUUAAGAUAAUAAAAUAAUGUUGUGUAGUCUUUAAUACUUUAGACAGCCAGUUUUACUAUUUAAAGAUUUAUUUAUCAUAAAAUUAUUACUUCUAAUAUUAUUACACACAUGCUAUACAGAUAAUGUAGAGUUUUGAGUAAUGACAGUUAUUAUGUGGCUUGAUGGAGCGGAGGAGAUGCAGAUAACAUGAUCCUUUAAGAAACUUUCAUUAAUGCUGUCAUCUAACAAAUCUGAUCAAAUAUAAAAUUUAAUGAAUUGCUAAUUACAACAUUGAAAUAAAAAUGUACAGCCUGUACAAAUAUUAGAAAUCAUGAAUAUAAAAAAGUUGGGAAUUAUAUAAAACAUUAAAACAAAAUAAAAACAUUUUAAAUCCACAUUUCACUUAUCUAUUAUAACAUUUAUGUAGUGUUGUUUGCUUGGCUGUUUACUUAUAAAAUUCCAGAAAUGUGUAAAGUUUUUGGUCAGUGUCUUUAUUGAUUAUAUGAGUUUGUUAAGUUGCUGUCUUGUGGUCAGCCAGUCGCUGCACUGCUGAUCACGGUUGAGUAUCGAUACAUAGCCCCUUUUAAACCAACCCAUGAACACACAAUUAUCUCAGAUAACUCAAUCCAGCCAUAUUAAUCAUCAACAACAGGUGCGCUCAAAGAACCGAAUUAGCCAGAUCCUGAUUAGCGAGAUGAUAUCAUCUUGGACUACAUCUACAUUAAUCCGGAUGCAUUUGAAAA